rnacentral:rRNA from 1 species
UACGUAGGGUGCAGGCGUUAAUCGGAAUUACUGGGCGUAAAGCGUGCGCAGGCGGCUCCUUAAGUCAGAUGUGAAAUCCCCGGGCUUAACCUGGGAACUGCGUUUGAAACUGAGGGGCUAGAGUGUGGAAGAGGGGGGUGGAAUUCCAGGUGUAGCAGUGAAAUGCGUAGAGAUGUGGAGGAACACCGAUGGCGAAGGCAGCCCCCUGGGCUAACACUGACGCUCAUGCACGAAAGCGUGGGGAGCAAACAGG